rnacentral:rRNA from 1 species
GACGAACGCUGGCGGCGUGCUUAACACAUGCAAGUCGAACGGAAAGGCCCUGCUUUUGUGGGGUGCUCGAGUGGCGAACGGGUGAGUAACACGUGAGUAACCUGCCCUUGACUUUGGGAUAACUUCAGGAAACUGGGGCUAAUACCGGAUAGGAGCUCCUGCUGCAUGGUGGGGGUUGGAAAGUUUCGGCGGUUGGGGAUGGACUCGCGGCUUAUCAGCUUGUUGGUGGGGUAGUGGCUUACCAAGGCUUUGACGGGUAGCCGGCCUGAGAGGGUGACCGGCGAAAUUGGGACGGAGAUACGGCCAAGACUGCUACGGGAGGAAGCGGUGGGGAAUGUUGGAGAAUGGGCUGAAGGCGUAGGCAGCCACGCCGCGUGGGGGGUGACGGCCUUCGGGUUGUAAACCGAUAUAGCCUGUGACGAAGUGUGAGUGACGGUACUGGGUAAAGAAGCAGAGGCUAACUCGGUC